rnacentral:tRNA from 1 species
GAGGGAAUGGCUUUGUGGUAGAGCACAUGCCUGGCAUGCACAAGGUCCUGGGUUCGAUUCCCCAGUACCUCCA